AGAGUUUGAUCAUGGCUCAGAUUGAACGCUGGCGGCAGGCUUAACACAUGCAAGUCGAGCGGUAACAGAGAUAGCUUGCUAUCUGCUGACGAGCGGCGGACGGGUGAGUAACGCGUAGGAAACUACCCAGUAGUGGGGGACAACAGUUGGAAACGACUGCUAAUACCGCAUACGCUCUACGGAGGAAAGGGGGCUUCGGCUCUCGCUAUUGGAUGUGCCUGCGUGAGAUUAGCUAGUUGGUGAGGUAAGAGCUCACCAAGGCGACGAUCUCUAGCUGGUCUGAGAGGAUGAUCAGCCACACUGGGACUGAGACACGGCCCAGACUCCUACGGGAGCCACCAGUGGGGAAUAUUGGACAAUGGGCGAAANCCUGAUCCAGCCAUGCCGCGUGUGUGAAGAAGGCUUUCGGGUUGUAAAGCACUUUCAUCAGUGAGGA
rnacentral:rRNA from 1 species